AUUGAACGCUGGCGGAAUGCUUUACACAUGCAAGUCGAACGGCAGCACGGGGGCAACCCUGGUGGCGAGUGGCGAACGGGUGAGUAACACAUCGGAACGUGCCCAGUCGUGGGGGAUAACGUAGCGAAAGCUACGCUAAUACCGCAUACGAACUCUGGUUGAAAGCGGGGGACUCGCAAGGGCCUCGCGCGAUUGGAGCGGCCGAUGGCAGAUUAGGUAGUUGGUGGGGUAAAGGCCACCAAGCCGACGAUCUGUAGCUGGUCUGAGAGGACGACCAGCCACACUGGGACUGAGACACGGCCCAGACUCCUACGGGAGGCAGCAGUGGGGAAUUUUGGACAAUGGGCGCAAGCCUGAUCCAGCCAUUCCGCGUGC
rnacentral:rRNA from 1 species